rnacentral:pre_miRNA from 1 species
GGCUUUUAGAAUCCGUGCUGAGAUUUCGUCAGACACCAACCCAUUAGGGCUGACCAGACAUCCAAGAUAGGUGAAGUU